rnacentral:pre_miRNA from 1 species
CGUGUCCCCCCUCGGCGGUGUGCACGGGAGUAUCGGGCGCCGUCCUCAUGCCCCCCUCCGAGGGUAGCACG